rnacentral:rRNA from 1 species
GACGAACGCUGGCGGCGUGCCUAAUACAUGCAAGUAGAACGCUGAAGGAGGAGCUUGCUUCUCUGGAUGAGUUGCGAACGGGUGAGUAACGCGUAGGUAACCUGCCUGGUAGCGGGGGAUAACUAUUGGAAACGAUAGCUAAUACCGCAUAAGAGUAGAUGUUGCAUGACAUUUGCUUAAAAGGUGCAAUUGCCUCACUACCAGAUGGACCUGCGUUGUAUUAGCUAGUUGGUGGGGUAACGGCUUACCAAGGCGACGAUACAUAGCCGACCUGAGAGGGUGAUCGGCCACACUGGGACUGAGACACGGCCCAGACUCCUACGGGAGGCAGCAGUAGGGAAUCUUCGGCAAUGGACGGAAGUCUGACCGAGCAACGCCGCGUGAGUGAAGAAGGUUUUCGGAUCGUAAAGCUCUGUUGUAAGAGAAGAACGAGUGUGAGAGUGGAAAGUUCACACUGUGACGGUAUCUUACCAGAAAGGGACGGCUAACUACGUG